rnacentral:rRNA from 1 species
AUUGAACGCUGGCGGCAUGCUUUACACAUGCAAGUCGAACGGUAACAGGCCGCAAGGUGCUGACGAGUGGCGAACGGGUGAGUAAUGCAUCGGAACGUGCCCAGUCGUGGGGGAUAACGCAGCGAAAGCUGCGCUAAUACCGCAUACGAUCUAUGGAUGAAAGCGGGGGACCGUAAGGCCUCGCGCGAUUGGAGCGGCCGAUGUCAGAUUAGGUAGUUGGUGGGGUAAAGGCUCACCAAGCCGACGAUCUGUAGCUGGUCUGAGAGGACGACCAGCCACACUGGGACUGAGACACGGCCCAGACUCCUACGGGAGGCAGCAGUGGGGAAUUUUGGACAAUGGGCGCAAGCCUGAUCCAGCAAUGCCGCGUGCAGGAAGAAGGCCUUCGGGUUGUAAACUGCUUCUGUACGGAACGAAACGGUCUGGAUUAAUACCCUGGGCUAAUGACGGUACCGUAAGAAUAAGCACCGGCUAACUACGUGCCAGCCGCCGCGGUAAGAC